CCUACGGGAGGCUGCAGUGAGGAAUAUUGGUCAAUGGACGAGAGUCUGAACCAGCCAAGUAGCGUGAAGGAUGACUGCCCUAUGGGUUGUAAACUUCUUUUAUAGGGGAAUAAAACGUCCCACGUGAGGGAUGUUGUAUGUACCAUAUGAAUAAGGAUCGGCUAACUCCGUGCCAGCAGCCGCGGUAAUACGGAGGAUCCGAGCGUUAGCCGGAUUUAUUGGGUUUAAAGGGAGCGUAGGUGGAUUGUUAAGUCAGUUGUGACAGUUUGCGGCUCCACCGUAAAAUUGCAGUUGAAACUGGCAGUCUUGAGUACAGUAGAGGUUGGCGGACUUCGUUGUGUAGCGG
rnacentral:rRNA from 1 species